rnacentral:misc_RNA from 1 species
GAUGAAGAACGUAGCGAAAUGCGAUAAGUAAUGUGAAUUGCAUAAUUCAGUGAAUCAUCGAAUCUUUGAACGCACAUUGCGCCCGUUAGCAUUCUAGCGGGCAUGCCUGUCCGAGCGUCAUUUCAACCCUCAGGGUCCCCGUUCCGGCGGGGAACCUGGUGUUGGGGAUCGGCCCGCCCCGCGCGGCGCCGUCCCCCAAAUUCAGUGGCGGUCUCGCUGCAGCCUCCCCUGCGUAGUAGUUACAACCUCGCAUCGGAGCUCAGCGCGGCCACGCCGUAAAACCCCCGACUUUCUGAACGUUGACCUCGGAUCAGGUAGGAAUACCCGCUGAACUUAAGCAUAUCAAUAAGCGGAGGA